UUCACCGGAGGACAGAAGAUGGCGUGGACAGCCAUUAAACAAAAAGUUCAUGGAUUUGGAGCCACAUGGAAUAUUGAAGGACGUUGACUUUCAGGAAUUUGGUCUCAACAGCCUACGCAAGCAAUAUGUUGAAGGCAGAAGAGAUCUCAUCAUACGUUGCCUAAUGGUGUUCCUUGGAGAGUUGGGAGAGGAGCUAAUCAAAGACUGCC